rnacentral:rRNA from 1 species
AUGGCGCCGGGAUUCACCAGGUUUGAUUUGGAGAAAUUCGAUGGCACGGGUAACUUCGGUCUAUGGCAGACAAGAGUCAAGGAUAUUCUAGCACAGCAGGGAAUCUUGAAGGGUUUGCAGGAGAUGAAGCCGGCCAAGGUUGACAACGAUGUGUGGGAGGAUAUGCAAGUGCAGGCGGCCGCUACCAUACGGCUUUGUCUUGUGGAUCAGGUCAUGUAUCAUGUCAUGGACGAAGAUACUCCUAAGGGAAUUUGGGACAAGUUGGCAAAUCGUUAUAUGUCCAAGUCAGCGACCAAUAAGCUGUAUUUGAAGCAAAAGUUCUAUGGGCUGAAGAUGCAGGAGGGGUCGGAUCUUGUGGAGCAUGUGAACGCCUUUAAUCAAUUG